rnacentral:rRNA from 1 species
GAUCCUGGCUCAGAUUGAACGCUGGCGGCAUGCCUUACACAUGCAAGUCGAACGGCAGCACGGACUUCGGUCUGGUGGCGAGUGGCGAACGGGUGAGUAAUGUAUCGGAACGUACCUUUCAGUGGGGGAUAACGUAGCGAAAGUUACGCUAAUACCGCAUAUUCUGUGAGCAGGAAAGCAGGGGAUCGCAAGACCUUGCGCUGAUUGAGCGGCCGAUAUCAGAUUAG